rnacentral:rRNA from 1 species
UGCGCAGGCGGCCUGGUAAGUCAGGGGUGAAAUAUGACGGCUCAACCGUCAAACUGCCCCUGAAACUGUCAGGCUUGAGUCCGGGAGAGGAAGGUGGAAUUCCAGGUGUAGCGGUGAAAUGCGUAAAUAUCUGGAGGAACACCGGUGGCGAAGGCGGCCUUCUGGCCCGGAACUGACGCUCAGGCACGAAAGCUAGGGGAGCGAACAGGAUUAGAUACCCUGGUAGUCC